ensembl:lncRNA
UUCCGGUUUAGCGCUUUCGUAUUUUAGUUGUAUGGCCAAAACCCUAAAAGGGAUUAACGGAGUAAAAAGUUGUGAGUUUGUCUCGUUUUUUGGUUCUAAACGAAAAACGAGAAAACGACUGUCCACUUCCGUUUUACCGUUUUGGAUUUAAAACGAAAAACGAGAAAACGAGUGUUUUUGUUUUCUGUUUUUUACGGCUCAGCAGAGGUUGUUCUUCCUGAGGCAGCUGAAGAAAUUCAACCUGCCAAAGACGAUGAUGGUGCCUUCAGGUCAUCAACAGAGCCCGGUUCCCCACUGACUGACUCUGACAUUUCACCGGUCACUCUCCCAUGUCACUUUCUUUUCGUUGGUACACUUUAUUUUAAAUUUUUAAAUAUAAUAUAAAAUAUAAUAUUACAUUACAUUACAUGUCAUUUAGCUGACGGUUUAAGCGACUUACAAUAAGUGCAUUCAACCAUAGGGGUACACACUCAGAAGAACAAGAAACAAGAAAGUGCAAUUUCCUCAAACAAGCCAAUUUACAAUUUGCUAUAGAUGAGUGGCGUUAUAAGUACAAUAUAAGUGCUACAAUUUGUUAGUCUUUUCGUCAAGGUAGAGUCUGAAGAGGUGUGUCUUUAGUUUGCGGCGGAAGAUGUGAAGGCUCUCUGCGGUCCUGGUGUCUUCAGAGAGCUCGUUCCACCAUUUCGGAGCAAGGACAGCAAAGAGUCGUGAUCUAGCCAAGUGUUUUGCUCUCAAUGAGGGAGGGACGAGCAGUUUAGCAGAUGCAGAGCGGAGAGUGCGGGUCGGGAUGUAGGGUUUGACCAUGUCCUGGACGUAAGCUGGACCUGAUCCAUUCACAGCAUGGUAUGUGAGCACCAAUGUUUUGAACUGGAUGCGGGCAGCAGUCGAGCUGCAAAGGUCGAAUGGCGGUAGCAGGGAGACCUGCAGGAGAGAGUUGCAGUAGUCCAGGCGUGAAAUGACAAGAGCCUGAAUCAGUACCUGGGCAGCCUUCUACGUGAGAAGGGGACGUAUUCUCCUGAUGUUGUAGAGUGUGUAUCUACAGGAUCGUGUUGUCGCAGUGAUGUUGGGAGUCAGGGAGAGUUGGCUGUCAAGUGUGACACCGAGGUUCCUAGCAGUUAAAGUGGGCGUUAGCACGGAGUUGCCAAAGUUGACCGUCAGGUCCUGGGUCGGAGAGUCUUUUCCGGGAAAGAGAAGUAGUUCAGUCUUGUCGGGGUUGAUUUUCAGAUGGUGGGCGGAUCCACUGAGAGAUCAGUCAGACAGGCAGAGAUCCGUGCCGCCACCUGGGUGUCCGAGGGAGGGAAGGAGAGAAUUAUUUGGGUGUCAUCGGCAUAGCUGUGGUAAGAGAAGCCAUGCGAGCAAAUGACAGCGCCGAGAGAGUUGGUGUAGAGCGAGAAGAGAAGGGGACCCAGGAAAGGAACCCUGAGGAACUCCUGUAGUAAGAGGACAUGGUUCCGACACAUAUCCUCGCUAGGUUACCCGGUAGGUGC